rnacentral:rRNA from 1 species
CCUACGGGGGGCUGCAGUGGGGAAUAUUGGACAAUGGGGGCAACCCUGAUCCAGCCAUGCCGCGUGUGUGAAGAAGGCCCUCGGGUUGUAAAGCACUUUCAGUGAGGAAGAACGCCUGGUGGUUAAUACCCAUCAGGAAAGACAUCACUCACAGAAGAAGCACCGGCUAACUCCGUGCCAGCAGCCGCGGUAAUACGGAGGGUGCGAGCGUUAAUCGGAAUUACUGGGCGUAAAGCGCGCGUAGGUGGCUUGAUAAGCCGGUUGUGAAAGCCCCGGGCUCAACCUGGGAACGGCAUCCGGAACUGUCAAGCUAGAGUGCAGGAGAGGAAGGAAGAAUUCCCGGUGUAGCGGUGAAAUGCGUAGAGAUCGGGAGGAAUACCAGUGGCGAAGGCGGCCUUCUGGACUGACACUGACACUGAGGUGCGAAAGCGUGGGUAGCAAACAGGAUUAGAUACCCUAGUAGUC